UAAAAGGGCCGGUUGGCUAAAUAUGCCACGCUUACCCUUGUCGGUAAGUGCUGUAUGGCUAUCAAGACAUAUGGCCGGCAUAAUUUAUGGAACCUAAAUAGGGUUGGCUCGCUUGGCCGACCCUCCA